rnacentral:rRNA from 1 species
UACGAAGGGGGCUAGCGUUGUUCGGAUUUACUGGGCGUAAAGCGCACGUAGGCGGAUCGAUCAGUCAGGGGUGAAAUCCCAGAGCUCAACUCUGGAACUGCCUUUGAUACUGUCGAUCUGGAGUAUGGAAGAGGUGAGUGGAACUCCUAGUGUAGAGGUGGAAUUCGUAGAUAUUAGGAAGAACACCAGUGGCGAAGGCGGCUCACUGGUCCGGUACUGACGCUGAGGUGCGAAAGCGUGGGGAGCAAACAGG